rnacentral:rRNA from 1 species
AACGAACGUUAGCGGCGCGCCUAACACAUGCAAGUCGCACGAGAAAGGGAGCAAUCCCCGGUACAGUGGCGCACGGGUGAGUAACACGUAGAUGACCUUCCCUGGAGUGGUGGAUAACCUGCCGAAAGGCGGGCUAAUACAGCAUGGGACCACAUGGUUUUGACCGAGUGGUGAAAGCGGGCCUCUGUUCACAAGCUCGCGCUCUGGGAUGGGUCUGCGUCCCAUCAGCUAGUUGGUGAGGUAAUGGCUCACCAAGGCAUCGACGGGUAGCUGGUCUGAGAGGAUGACCAGCCACACUGGAACUGAGACACGGUCCAGACUCCUACGGGAGGCAGCAGUGGGGAAUCUUGCGCAAUGGGCGAAAGCCUGACGCAGCGACGCCGCGUGGGUGAUGAAGGCCUCGGUU